rnacentral:rRNA from 1 species
CCAGGUAAAUCCGGUUCACUUUAACACUGAGGCGUGAUGACGAGGCACUACGGUGCUGAAGCAACAAAUGCCCUGCUUCCAGGAAAAGCCUCUAAGCAUCAGGUAACAUCAAAUCGUACCCCAAACCGACACAGGUGGUCAGGUAGAGAAUACCAAGGCGCUUGAGAGAACUCGGGUGAAGGAACUAGGCAAAAUGGUGCCGUAACUUCGGGAGAAGGCACGCUGACACGUAGGUGAAGUGAUUUACUCAUGGAGCUGAAGUCAGUCGAAGAUACCAGCUGGCUGCAACUGUUUAUUAAAAACACAGCACUGUGCAAACACGAAAGUGGACGUAUACGGUGUGACGCCUGCCCGGUGCCGGAAGGUUAAUUGAUGGGGUCAGCGCAAGCGAAGCUCCUGAUCGAAGCCCCGGUAAACGGCGGCCGUAACUAUAACGGUCCUAAGGUAGCGAAAUUCCUUGUCGGGUAAGUUCCGACCUGCACGAAUGGCGUAAUGAUGGCCAGGCUGUCUCCACCCGAGACUCAGUGAAAUUGAACUCGCUGUGAAGAUGCAGUGUACCCGCGGCAAGACGGAAAGACCCCGUGAACCUUUACUAUAGCUUGACACUGAACAUUGAGCCUUGAUGUGUAGGAUAGGUGGGAGGCUUUGAAGUGUGGACGCCAGUCUGCAUGGAGCCGACCUUGAAAUACCACCCUUUAAUGUUUGAUGUUCUAACGUGGACCCGUAAUCCGGGUUGCGGACAGUGUCUGGUGGGUAGUUUGACUGGGGCGGUCUCCUCCUAAAGAGUAACGGAGGAGCACGAAGGUUGGCUAAUCCUGGUCGGACAUCAGGAGGUUAGUGCAAUGGCAUAAGCCAGCUUGACUGCGAGCGUGACGGCGCGAGCAGGUGCGAAAGCAGGUCAUAGUGAUCCGGUGGUUCUGAAUGGAAGGGCCAUCGCUCAACGGAUAAAAGGUACUCCGGGGAUAACAGGCUGAUACCGCCCAAGAGUUCAUAUCGACGGCGGUGUUUGGCACCUCGAUGUCGGCUCAUCACAUCCUGGGGCUGAAGUAGGUCCCAAGGGUAUGGCUGUUCGCCAUUUAAAGUGGUACGCGAGCUGGGUUUAGAACGUCGUGAGACAGUUCGGUCCCUAUCUGCCGUGGGCGCUGGAGAACUGAGGGGGGCUGCUCCUAGUACGAGAGGACCGGAGUGGACGCAUCACUGGUGUUCGGGUUGUCAUGCCAAUGGCACUGCCCGGUAGCUAAAUGCGGAAGAGA